GAUGAAGAACGCAGCGAAAUGCGAUAAGUAGUGUGAAUUGCAGAAUUCAGUGAAUCAUCGAAUCUUUGAACGCACAUUGCGCCCCUUGGUAUUCCAUGGGGCAUGCCUGUUCGAGCGUCAUUUGUACCUUCAAGCUCUGCUUGGUGUUGGGUGUUUGUCUCGCCUCUGCGUGUAGACUCGCCUCAAAACAAUUGGCAGCCGGCGUAUUGAUUUCGGAGCGCAGUACACCUCGCGCUUUGCACUCAUAACGACGACGUCCAAAAGUACAUUUUUACACUCUUGACCUCGGAUCAGGUAGGGAUACCCGCUGAACUUAAGCAUAUCAAUAAGCGGAGGA
rnacentral:misc_RNA from 1 species